rnacentral:lncRNA from 1 species
UUAGGUUUCCAAUUUUUUGGAAUUAUUCUUGGGACAGUUAAGACGGAUAUGCAGAUUACUGUAUUAUAAGUAUACUGUAUUUACAUGGCCUAAAAAGAAUCUACUGAUUUUGUGAAAGCAAAAUUACUGAAAGUAAAACUACUACCUGGCAACCCCAUCUAGCAAAGCUGAUACAAAGAUUGAAAGAUUAAGGUUAUCAAAUCUACUGAUAAAACAGUGGACAAUGGAAUGAAACCAGCUAUUAAAAAAACAAACAAACAGGUUGUUAAAUAAAUUGAAAAUUUCCAGCAAAAUAAAACAUAUAAUAAUAAGAAAAAAAUAAGGUUAUAAAGUAAAUUCUUUUUCUCCUUCUGAAGUUGCCGCAAAGGUGUCAUACACCUAGAACAACACCUAGGGUCGUGACAGACAACUUCAGAGUCGGCCAGAAAACCCAAAUCGGCCAGGGCGUAAAUUAGUUUAGCAUUAUAACGUUUUUAAGUCGUUGCGAUUGUUGAAAAAACUGAACUGUGAUAUGUAGUUGUCACAAUGGUAAUAAAUUAGUUGCCCGUAUAACUAAAGGUAUUACUUAAAGUUGUAACAUCGUAAUGUCAGUCGGGAUAGGGGACGUUGGCCGAAACAACUGAAAAUGCUCUCGGGCAACGUUAUAUACAGUGCAUUUGUUUGUACUGACAACCAAUGUGUCGAAAAAUUGCUACUUGGGUAGAGUUAUUUAUUAUUGUUUUCUCAUAUUUUGCAAUUGUUAAGUUGGUUUACUUCGAAUUUAAUAUGCAUUACUGUGGUAUUUCUCCACUUUUCUAAGAAGGUUGGUGAUUUUGAAUUGGGAUUAUGAUGAAUUUAACCCAAAGGCAAUGUGUGUUUAUUUAUGUGGCAAAAUUCCAGGCACCAUAAAAAUUUGAGUUUCUUCCAAUGAACUGUCAAUACGGAUUCAUUCCGUAUUGACAGUUCAUUGGUUUCUUCCUGUUGCCCAUGGAUGAAAAUCGGUUUGCAGAAUGAAAAGAAAUUGUUCAAUGUGAUAAACUUUCUAUGAACAGUCCUCAAUAUUGUUACAUUAACUUUUAAAUAUGCACUUUACAUCUUGAGGAGCAGGCCUUUGCAGAAAUACUGAAAAGCGGGUUGCAAAACAACGCAAAAUAAAAUAAACGAAAUAUGUCUUGAGAUUAAACAUUCAAGUUGAAGGUGUGUUCUUUCUUAAACUGGAAUGAUAAUUUUGUAAUUCUGUAGGCACAUCUAUUGAGAAGUUACAACCAGUGGCAAAGUGCCUUAAGGGAAUCUAUGACACAUAUAACUGAAGGUAUGAGUAUAUGUUUCAAAUUAAUUGUUGGAUGAUUCUGAGAAAGUGUAAAUUUUUUUCAUGAAUUUGGUACAUAACUGUCUUUAUCUAAACUCUAAAAACCAUUGACAUCUAUUUUGAAAAACCAUGUUCCUAGAAACCAUUGAUAACAAAUAUAGACGGUUACCUCUGCAUUCGUUGUAUCAUCUUACUACCCUAUCCAUAGCGAGUCUAAUUUUUAAAUCUAUAAUAAUUGUUUACGUGCUGGUUUCAUAAAGAUGCUUCAAAAAUCUAUAUGGGUCUUACUAGGCAGCACAGCCAUGCCUUUAGUAGCUUUUCCAAUUAUAUUUUCAAUAUGCUUAUUCUAGUUAAGAUUGUGGGAUAAAAAGACCACUAAAUAUUUGAGUUCAUUUUUAGGUAUCAGCAUUGGCUCUACAGCCCAUGGUGGGUCUUGGCCUGUUCCAGAAUCGGCUUCCACUCUUUCCUAUCCUUUGCUUGGCUUUCCAAUUUCUCACUCGAGCAUGAAUUUUUGGUAUAUAUGGGAUUAUAUUGUGAUAACGACCAGAUCUAUGAAAGAAUAGUAUGUUGUUAAAGAAGAUUGUGGUGACACUAUUCAUGAAUUUCUGAUAAUAUUGGUUAAUGUGAAUGGAGUCCAAAAUGGGGUUUAGGCUGUUAUAUAAAAAACUAGGUCAUUAGCAUAUGGAAGUAGGGCGACAUUAUCUGGUAUUAAAUUAUGUGAAUAAAGAGAAUUAAACCUAAAAACUCUAUUUAUUCUGCUAAUCAAUAUGAUUUUAAUAUAUUUUAAUAUAAAACUUCUGUUAUUCUUUCUAGGGACAUCUCCUCUGAAGGAAUUACAAUUAUUUGCCAAUAUGUCAAAUGAAUUUUCAACAUCAGUCAUACUUUCAUGAAUUUAUUGAUGAAAAUAAAACUAGGUACACGAUUUAUUAUUUACUUCCAAGGGAUUCUAAGAUACUAUGUGUAAAAAGUCCAAUAUGCAGUGAUGAGCAUGCUAAUAACUGGCAAAAUAUGGGAUAUAAUGCCAAAGAUGGGAAACAUGGGAUGCAUUCUGAAGUAAAAAGAGAUGAAACUGAGAGAAAUUAUCGAUAUAAACAUAUAAAUUAACAUUACAUUACAUAGUUUCUCACCUUAAGGCGUAUCAGAUGAGUAUGAGAACUGUCACUGUGACAGGAGAAUUUUAUAAAAUACUCCUGUCACAGAGAUCUAAAGGUGGGAAACUAUGUAAUGUUAUCGUCGGCUAAGAGUGUUAACCUGCUAACUCAAUUUUUCACUGUGAGUGAUAUUGGGGUAGUUUCUAGGUCUGUGUACCUUCAUACCAUGUCCCACAAGCCCGCUGGUUCCACUGUAGUUUAGAGAUAGCUAUUUCUAAACUACAUUGGUGUCGGCGGGUUUGUGGGGUGGUGUAUGAAAAUACACAGACCCAGAAACUAGCCCAAUAUCACUCAAAGUGAAAAAUGGAGUUAGCAGGUUAAAACUCUUAUCCAAGGUUAUGUUAAUUUAUUCGUUUAUAACGAUAAGUUCCACUUCUACCAGUUUCAUCUCUUUUUAUCUCACAAGUUAAUAUGAUUUCCAUCUUUUGCGUUAUUUUGCCGGUUAUUAGUGUGAGUGCUCAUUACUGUAUAUUUACGAUUCUGUGAUUUCUCAAUAUGAUGCUGAGUAGGUAUAGAUGAGCAUUUACAACCCUUUCAAAACAGAAAUUUUUAAGUUCAUUUCAGGUACCUAUUAAAUUUUAUUUUAAGGAUGAAUUUGAAAUGCCUGUAGGGAAUAUAUCUGUAAAAAAUAAAAUUGGUAUUGUAAAAUUGAAAUUCUCAAAAUAUAAUUUAUAAUUCGAA